rnacentral:sRNA from 1 species
GCCGGGCGUAGUGGCACGUGCCUGUAAUCCCAGCUACUCAGGAGGCUGAGGCAUGAGAAUUGCUAGAACCAGGGAGUCGGAGGUUGCAGUGAGCCGAGAUGGCGCCACUGCACUCCAGCCUGGCAACAGAGCCAGACUCUGUCUCAAAAAAAAAAAACCCCAAAGAAACAAUAUUUUGCUCUGUUGCCGAGGCUGGAGUGCAGUGGUGGUGGUGCAAUCAUAACUUACUGCAGCCUUGACCUCCUGUCCUCAAGUGAUCAUCUUGCCUCA